GAUGAACGCUAGCUACAGGCUUAACACAUGCAAGUCGAGGGGAAACGACAGAGGAAGCUUGCUUCCUUUGGGCGUCGACCGGCGCACGGGUGAGUAACGCGUAUCCAACCUUCCCGCAAGUAAGGGAUAACCCGUAGAAAUGCGGCCUAAUACCUUAUGUUUUCCUUAGAGGGCAUCUGAUGAGGAACAAAGAUCCGUCGCUUGCGGAUGGGGAUGCGUCUGAUUAGUUAGUCGGCGGGGUAACGGCCCACCGAGACGACGAUCAGUAGGGGUUCUGAGAGGAAGGUCCCCCACAUUGGAACUGAGACACGGUCCAAACUCCUACGGGAGGCAGCAGUGAGGAAUAUUGGUCAAUGGACGAAAGUCUGAACCAGCCAAGUAGCGUGCAGGAUGACGGCCCUAUGGGUUGUAAACUGCUUUUAUAAGGGAAUAAAGUGAGUCUCGUGAGACUUUUUGCAUGUACCUUAUGAAUAAGGACCGGCUAAUUCCGUG
rnacentral:rRNA from 1 species